CCUUCCUGACCAAUCACCAGCUCUGCUUGCCGGAACAGUGUAUAAAUUGAGAUGCUUGGUCUGAAAACCCACUUUGCUAAUUAGCUAUAUAAGUAACCACUUACAUGCUACCAGCUUUUUUUUUCAUUACAAGCGUGCAGCUUCUGCAAGCUGAGGUUUGUCGUUCACAAGCCUGUUGAACUAGAUUGCUUGGAUUUAAGCCAAUUUACUCAGCCGGCAAGUGUCCUACUUUACAGAAGCCAUACUCUAUUUGAAGGUGUCCUCCAGCUGAAGGGUUGGCCGGUCCAAGUCUAUCUUAAAGAGAAAGAACCAUAAGUAGAGAGAACAAGGACCUUAAAGUUGCCCAUCAACAGUUAACACCUGGACAGCCGACUGAGCAGGUACACAGGUCGCCUAGUCACAGUCUUCUCCGCUAUGGAUAUCUGUGGGAAUCCUGGGAACACCUGGGAGAAAAUGACAAGAACCAGAGUGCAGGAGAAAGCCAGAGUCACAUGCAUUGGGUGUGGACUACAGUUGCUGAAGAGGUUUCCAUUUUACACCAGUGCGCAUGUUGAUUCAAUUACAGUGCAAAAAAGGCACCCUGGCUGAAAGGAGCAAUUCUAGGAAGGCUGGUUGCAUUAGCGUUAUUAUUAUCAUGCUGCUUACCUCUCAUUUGCUCUGGUUUCUUUCUUUAAAACUGGAUGAACAUCCUGCAGUGGCAAAGUUUUUCUGUAUUUAAUCUUUACUAGAAAGAAAAUGAACAUUUUUUUUCUCCA